rnacentral:misc_RNA from 1 species
CAAGCAGACUAUGACGCCAUUGAAGUGUGUCAGUUGUUGUGGUAGGGAGUGAGGUGCUGGUGACUCUUCUAGUUAAUACCUUCCCUUACUUCUCUCUCUACAACUGAUGUAUGAAAAGAGAGGAAUUGUUUAUAGUGUAUAGAUAUAAACAUGUCUGCCUUAUUUGCCUGUUCUCGUUGCUUCAGUAGGCACCCUUUUGAGGAGCUCUCCCAGGGCCAGCAACUGUGUAAGGAGUGUAGAGGAUCGUUUCCCAUCGUAAAGUGUACCUAUUGUCGGAGUGAAUUCCAGCAAGAAAGUAAAAGCAGCACUGUUACAAUCUGCAAGAAAUGUGAGUCUAUGGUGAAGCAGUAUGGUAAACCCUCGGCCUGUGAGUACUGUAACGUUAUAGCUGCCUUCAUCGGUAACAAGUGCCAGCGGUGUACCAACUCUGAACGGAAGUAUGGCCCCCCGCUAUCCUGUGACCAGUGUAAACAAAAGUGUGCAUUUGACAGGAAGGAUAUAGACAAGAAGAAGGUAGAUGGUAAAUUAUUAUGUUGGCUGUGUACACUUUCAUACAAGCGAGCAUUGGCAAAAACAAAAGUCACCGACCCGGGUAGACAUUCGCACAUAAAACUUGGGUCGCGCUCAGGUCACCACAAGGAUAAGGAAAGCAGACACAAGCUAAGUGGGCACAACAAGCGACCCAACCGCCCCGAUGUCACCAAAAUGCCGCAGGAGGAACCCCCAGCCAAGCUGGGAAUAUAUGAUACAGACAAAGACACACAGAGUAUGGAUAUUCAUGACAAUUUUAAGACUGUGGCGAUGUCAGGAGGUACAAGCAAAAAGCGUAAUCCUACACAGGUGUCCAGGAACUCAGGGCCGACACGUGACAGUGAUCCAGGAACGGCCGACCAGCUCGUUCUUAUCACGCAGCUACGAGAACAGAUAGCUCGCCUGGAGAAGCAGCUUUCAGGAAAAGAUGCUCAGCUUUUAGCCAAGGAGAAACAGAUGUCGUUAGUGAUCUUCUAGUGACGACGCCAGAGACAUUCCACUACUGUAGGAGGGAUGUGUCUGUCUGCUUCAGCUGGUUGGGUGAGACGCAUCAUCACAUUGGGACUCUGAAACGUCGAUAAAUCAAUCUCCUCUACACAUAUCAUGGAAGAAGUGAGCCCCCAGACAUGUCUUACUGGGACAAUAACCUCACUAGCCUGAUGGAUUAACUGAAGCUCAAGAAAGAACCAAAAUGCAUAACAAGAUGACUCAAAAUGGCAUAGAUCCGGCAGCUAUUUAAGGGCGGAGUGGAUACAGCACACUGAA